CACGCAGGCGGUCCGUUAAAUGAGGAGUGAAAGCCCUGGGCUCAACCCGGGAAUGGCUCUUCAGACUGGCGGACUUGAAUCCGGAAGAGGGUAGUGGAAUUCCCAGUGUAGAGGUGAAAUUCGUAGAUAUUGGGAAGAACACCAGUGGCGAAGGCGACUGCCUGGUCCGGCAUUGACGCUCAUGUGCGAAAGCGUGGGGAGCAAACAGGAUUAGAUACCCUGGUAGUCCACGCCGUAAACGAUGAGUGCUAGUUGUUGGGGUGCAUGCACUUCAGUGACGCAGCUAACGCAUUAAGCACUCCGCCUGGGGAGUACGGCCGCAAGGUUAAA
rnacentral:rRNA from 1 species